AGAGUUGAUCCUGGCUCAGAGCGAACGCUGGCGGCAGGCUUAACACAUGCAAGUCGAACGGGCACUUCGGUGCUAGUGGCAGACGGGUGAGUAACACGUGGGAACGUACCUUUCGGUUCGGAAUAAUUCAGGGAAACUUGGACUAAUACCGGAUACGCCCUUCGGGGGAAAGAUUUAUCGCCGAUAGAUCGGCCCGCGUCUGAUUAGCUAGUUGGUGAGGUAAUGGCUCACCAAGGCGACGAUCAGUAGCUGGUCUGAGAGGAUGAUCAGCCACAUUGGGACUGAGACACGGCCCAAACUCCUACGGGAGGCAGCAGUGGGGAAUAUUGGACAAUGGGCGCAAGCCUGAUCCAGCCAUGCCGCGUGAGUGAUGAAGGCCUUAGGGUUGUAAAGCUCUUUUGUCCGGGAAGAUAAUGACUGUACCGGAAGAAUAAGCCCCGGCUAACUUCGUGCCAGCAGCCGCGGUAAUUCA
rnacentral:rRNA from 1 species